GAAGCCUGCGGAAGAGUACAAAUGAUUUGGUCUUGAUAUUAAAUAACGCUCAACACGUUUACAACUUGCGUUUCAUUACGAUCACAGACAUGGACAUCGUGCCGAGCUGUCGCAACAACCAUGUGCUCAUCGCCGAGGGAUUCUGUAUGUGUCUCACUCCUGAACAUCUAUUUAAAUCUUAUUAAAUGGGCUUUAUUGACCCCACGGGGAAUUUCCUUCAAAGGCAAAAGUGCCACAACAGCCGCAGGACGACAACACAGACGGCAGACAUAUGGCAUCUUAGCGGUUAACCUCUAUAAAGUCUGCCACAAGGUAAGAGAUCAUAUUCAGAAAACGGCAUGGAUGAUUCGGAUGAGGUCAUUUAGAAUGCCUCACCUCACAAUCACCAAAGUAAAGGAAUAGAAGGAUUUGUGUUUGUAUUCCUGCUGCUGUAACAAGUGAAUGUCCACAGUGUGGGAUCAAUAAAAUGUAAUUUAAUCUGAUCCAAUCCAAAACAAUCUAAUUUAAUCCAGUCCAAUCUAACCAAUAUCCUGACAUACUGAAUAUACAACAUCUGCUGUGUAUGACCAGCCUCUGCUCUCUUUCCUUCUCUCUUACCUUGAGCACCAGUACGAACAACAGCAUCGCCGACGCGACCGAGUACAUUUGAGUCUGUCUGGCCAGCGGGUGGAAGUCCGUGAAGGCGUUCCCCGGGCACUGCGUGUACGACGCCCACUGCUGCUUGGCCAUGGCGCAGCAGCUCAGGUGCAGUCCGCACACCGACGCCGCCAGAGCCAGCUUACAGAUGCCCAGGAGUCUCCAGGCGGACAGCAGGUACCUGUAGCCUCCCCGGACAAAGCCCAAGACCCCGCGCACCAGGAAGUACAGCACCAGGGCGAACAGGAUGAUCUGGGGAAACCCAAGGAAUCACAAAACACAAGUUUCACAAGAGCAGGUGGUACCGCACGACUGAUUUUGCUGCUCAUUAUCGGCGUCGACAGAGGGGUCCCUCGGGGGUUACCGUGAGAAGGAGCUGCAGGUCCAGGCCUGUGAUUGGCCACAGAGUAAUGACGCGCAGGUCGAGACUGGACAGGGCACGCUCCGACACCGGAAACUCAAACAGGAAGGAGAAGACAGCCAGGAGGUUUGUGUUGACGUUGUAGAGCGAGAACUCCACAAACACGGCGCGGGUCCUGAAAACAAACAAGAUUAAAAAAAAAAACACACGCUGAAGUGCCUGAGACCAGGAGUACAACAAGUUUCAUUUGAUUAAAAAAAAGCAGCAACACUGUAGGAGACGUUUGCCAUCCUAUUCUUAUUGACACUGGUGAUCUGCAUGUGAUAUCAACAUUAUAAUGAAAACUUAU